GAUCAAAGAGACAAAUUCAGAGUCUGAAAUGGAAAAUUGGGUUGAUUAUGUUAAUGAUAGACCUACCAAUGACAUGAGAUAUCCAAUGAAGUCAGAAAAGAUUCACGGUUUAGGAUGGAAACCUAAAGUGCCUUGGAAUGAAGGAAUAAAGAAAACAAUUGAAUGGUACAGAGAGAAUUUUCACAACUGGAAGAAUGUGGAACAAGCAUUAGAGCCCUUUCCAGUACAGCCACCAUUUAUGUAAUCGGCACAGUCUUCAGAGGAAGAAAAAAUUGUCCUACCUCAACAAGUGACAUGAAAUCAUGUGACCAAAUGAAGAGCCCUAAUUCAUUAGGAAUAGAUCCAUGGUUUUUUGUAUUAAAUUCCUUUUUUUUGGGGGGGAGGGGAAGGUUGU